rnacentral:tRNA from 1 species
CAUAGCCCAGUUGUCAAGGUACUUGACUGCAAUUCCAAUGACCACUGGUUCAAAUCCUGGU